rnacentral:rRNA from 1 species
UACGAAGGGGGCUAGCGUUGUUCGGAAUUACUGGGCGUAAAGUGCACGUAGGCGGAUACUUAAGUCAGGGGUGAAAUCCCGGGGCUCAACCCCGGAACUGCCUUUGAUACUGGGUAUCUCGAGUCCGGAAGAGGUGAGUGGAAUUCCGAGUGUAGAGGUGAAAUUCGUAGAUAUUCGGAGGAACACCAGUGGCGAAGGCGGCUCACUGGUCCGGUACUGACGCUGAGGUGCGAAAGCGUGGGGAGCAAACAGG